CUCAGCCUAACGCCUCCACUGAAGCACCCAUCUGGCAGGCUGGUGUGUCUGUGGGCUGCUGGAGAGUCGUGGAGUCCUGUUUCAGUGGCUCCGUUCCCCCGGUUACCGAGUGAGCCGCACUUCCCCCAGGGUUGGGCUGUCCAGGCAUAGGUGCCAGUUUCAUAACGGCCAGAGGGAGUUCCUAAGUGCCCAAUUUCGGCCUUCAGGGUCUCUCUGUGUACUUGUUGCUACCCUGGAAAUCAGAUCAAGCUGGCCUUGAACUCAUAAAGAGACCCACUGGCCCUCUACCUCCUGGUUGCCAGAGAGAAAAGCAACACACCCAGGGACCACCAGUCAGCAGUGUGGUUGUAAGGCCCACCACUCAGGACCUCUGGGGCUGUGGCACGAAAGAGCUGCUAGCUGGAGAAGGUAGUCUACUCAGCACUCAAGCCUAUACUUGGAGGACCCACACCCAAAUCCUUCGCAUCCAUAGGAACCCAAAUAACCGUCUCUGCUUCCUACUGCCUUCUCAGAUCUGUGGAAACUUCUUGAGAUCCUUGCUCAACUUAAGAGAAAAGACUUAACUCUACCUUUACAUCACGGUGGAUGAUACCCAAGUCGUGGAGAUAGCCUGUGGAGAACAGUGGGCAUGGGUGUGUCUGCCAGUUUCUUUGUAGCCCCUAUCUCUCCUCUAUCCUGACUUCCAAAAUUAAAUAUUAAUUCUGUUUCUCCUCCCCACUAACUUAAUUUCCCCCUUUUUAUUUCCUUUACCACAUUUGCACUUACACAGUACAAGGACCAGUUCAGCUGCAAAGAGACGGAUAGAAUCCUCUGGAAACCAACCAACAGUAGACCACAGGGAGUAGAGAUCCAUGCUGCAGUAGCUACACACUGCAAAGUAACACAAGUCUAGGCAAUACUGAGGUCUAUACAUAAUGCCUAGGCUCAAGGCAUUAUGGACCUCCUGCCCAAACUAAUGCCACCAUCUGUUUCCCUCUUUUGGAAUAUAGAAAUGUUAUGAGGAGUGGAGCCAAACAAAGGCAGAAUAAUGUCAGGUGGGGAGGGCAGUAUAUGGAUCUUUGGGGGUGAAGACAAAGCUCAGUCACUCACUAAUAAAGAGGUGUUGUUU
rnacentral:lncRNA from 1 species